AAUUAAACUUAUAGUUAGGUAGUUUAGUUGGUAACAGUAGGCUGUUAGUGGAACAAAUGGUUAAGAAUUCAAAGAUUCAUAACCUUUGGAAUUUGCUGGCUGAUAGUCCAUCUUUUGGUAGGAUAAAGAUGUUGAGAAAAGGGAGAUCGGGGCCAGACUGUGAGAGUUGUAAGCCAGAAUAAGCUUGGUGCUACCUCUUUGUUUUCUUUGCUUUUAUUAUUUUCUUAUGAAGAAUUGUUGAAAUUGUGAUUAGAAUAUUAUAGAAUAUAACUUUGGAUUGACUGUUUUGGAGAAAAUCUGUAACCUUGAGAAUUGAGAUUAUUGAAUUGUGUUGUGUUAAGUAAAGAUAUUGAAUUCUUUGUUAUGAAUUGAGAAAUUGAAUAUAAUAAGUAAGUUAGAGAUCAGUAAUUGAAUAUAUAUAAAUCGCAAAGAGAGUAAGUGGGAGAUGAAAUGAUAAGAAUAUGGAAGUAUUGUUGAAUUGAUAUUUGUAGAAUAGAUUAUGUGUUGAAUUAAGAUGGAAGUAGUAAGCCGUGGUGUUUUGUAGUUUGAUAAUUGAUUUCAGAUAGCUAGAAUACAGUCAAUUGUGACACUAACAGAUCCAAUUCA
rnacentral:lncRNA from 1 species